rnacentral:rRNA from 1 species
CCUACGGGUGGCUGCAGUGGGGAAUAUUGGACAAUGGGCGAAAGCCUGAUCCAGCCAUGCCGCGUGUGUGAAGAAGGCCUUCGGGUUGUAAAGCACUUUCAGUGGGGAAGAAAGCCUUGGGGCUAAUACCCUCGAGGAAGGACAUCACCCACAGAAGAAGCACCGGCUAACUCCGUGCCAGCAGCCGCGGUAAUACGGAGGGUGCGAGCGUUAAUCGGAAUUACUGGGCGUAAAGCGCGCGUAGGCGGUCUGAUAAGCCGGUUGUGAAAGCCCCGGGCUCAACCUGGGAACGGCAUCCGGAACUGUCAGGCUAGAGUGCAGGAGAGGAAGGUAGAAUUCCCGGUGUAGCGGUGAAAUGCGUAGAGAUCGGGAGGAAUACCAGUGGCGAAGGCGGCCUUCUGGACUGACACUGACGCUGAGGUGCGAAAGCGUGGGUAGCAAACAGGAUUAGAUACCCCUGUCGUC